rnacentral:rRNA from 1 species
UACGAAGGGGGCUAGCGUUGUUCGGAUUUACUGGGCGUAAAGCGCACGUAGGCGGAUUGUUAAGUCGGGGGUGAAAUCCUGGAGCUCAACUUCAGAAUUGCCUUCGAUACUGGCUUUCUAGAGGCUGGAAGAGGUUAGUGGAAUUCCCAGUGUAGAGGUGAAAUUCGUAGAUAUUGGGAAGAACACCAGUGGCGAAGGCGGCUAACUGGUCCAGAUCUGUCGCUGAGGUGCGAAAGCGUGGGGAGCAAACAGG